rnacentral:lncRNA from 1 species
AAUAUUCUCGUAUCCGGCGUUCUAAUCUUAGAUAACGCUCUGGUUCGUCGAAUGGUACCUUUAAUUUCUCGCCUUGAUUGUGAGUCUUAGCAUAUAAUCGACAGAUUAAAAAGAGAAAUAGUUUUGUUUGCCUUAGUCUAUACUGCGCAACACUGGAGUUACGAUAUUGACUAAAUUAGUCCCUACAAACGACGCCAAAAACUUGAUCGCG